AUUGAACGCUGGCGGCAUGCUUUACACAUGCAAGUCGAACGGUAACAGGGAGCUUGCUCCGCUGACGAGUGGCGAACGGGUGAGUAAUGCAUCGGAACGUGCCGUGUAAUGGGGGAUAACGUAGCGAAAGUUACGCUAAUACCGCAUACGCCCUGAGGGGGAAAGUGGGGGACCGCAAGGCCUCACGUUAUACGAGCGGCCGAUGUCGGAUUAGCUAGUUGGUGGGGUAAAGGCCUACCAAGGCGACGAUCCGUAGCGGGUCUGAGAGGAUGAUCCGCCACACUGGGACUGAGACACGGCCCAGACUCCUACGGGAGGCAGCAGUGGGGGAAUUUUGGGACAAUGGGGGCAACCCUGAUCCAGCCAUGCCGCGUGAGUGAAGAAGGCCUUCGGGUUGGUAAAGACUCUUUCAGGUGGAAGAAAUACGCAUC
rnacentral:rRNA from 1 species